rnacentral:sRNA from 1 species
GAGAAGCGCCGUGAGAGGCUCCAACAGGAGGAGGAGCUGGCAAAACACAUGGCUGAGGAAGAUGACGAUGAUUUUUAGACUGGCUGGCCACUUCUUUGGCACUUUGGGCUGCCAAAUUGCAAUGUUGAGUUGGUUGAUCUGAGAGACCGUAACACACCUAUACAUGCCACUCACAAAUGAUAUUUGAGUCAUGCAAAAACCCUUUGCUUCAUCUGCCGGAAAUUUAUGUCGAUGAGAAAUUUAUGACUCCAAAUGUGUCUAGUUGGAUAACUUACUUUUACCUUCACCUUGUAUCAUGGAUUCGAGAAUUUCUUUUGUACCAUGCGAAAUUCGGCUGCUUCAUUCAUGUAUUGUGGUUC